GGCAUAUGUAAAAAAUACCUACCCUAGCGGUACAAAUACAACCCUGAAGAGCACAGGAAGGAGGGGAGACAGAGCGGAGGCUCACUUAGGCCUCAAAAGAUGGUGAAGCUGGGGUGCAUCAAGUACUGACCAGAGUCUUGCUUUAUUUGAAGGCAAUUUUCUCUUCAUCAGGACUUCAGAGAGACAGAAAAUACAGGGCGUAAGGCAGUGUCUGCUGCAGAUGUCCUAGUGGGCUGGAACUGUGGAGGAGAGAGGGGCCUGUCCUGCACCGGGGAGCCACGGUGACUGUUUCUGUAAUGGCUGAGCUGUGUCUGGCUUCAGUCUGAACCAUCAGUUUCCAAACAGUGCUGCCUCUUCCCACCUCCCACACACGAGGUCACAGAGGACCUGCGAAAGCCGGGCUAGCACCUACCUUUCCCCCACUCAGCGCCUGAAUCUCGAUGCUUUGGAUGGUGCCGAGCCAGACUCGCUGGGCUCAUUCUCUCCGUCUCCUGCUGAAUUCUCUGGCUGCUUCUCAGCUGUCAGGGUGCCAAGCUCCAUCCUGACCGUCUCCUGGCUCCAGCCGCAGCAGGAAAUGGGCCUGACCGUUGUUCUUCCACAGCUGAUGAGAAAAGGGUGGAAGACAGCCGCUGGUGUGCUGGAAUUGUGUAAGUGUUGCCGAUGGAAAUGCAUUGUGUGAACAUCAUCCUGUGCACUGCAGCAGGAAAAGUUGGGAACGAAACUCCUUUAGGUUGUGAAGCAAGGAGCUUCUGGAAGACCCAUUAACAUAAAGCUUUGGAAACCAGCUUGGAAAUUUUGACAUGUCGUCACUUUCAUCUGCUAAGCAGCUUGCAAACAUCCUCUCCCUCUUUCCCAUGCCUCCCUCCAACUUCUCUGCUUCAGCCUGACCAUCUGAAUUUUUCCAGUGAGAUUGCAGACCCAGCAGGCUGGCUUCCACUUCUGAUGAGAGAUGGGAGGAUUGAGGAUAGGACCCGACAGGCUUCAGAAAAGCACCCUGUUUUGCUCUGUCUGCUGCCAGACCCAAAACCUGCCCACC
rnacentral:lncRNA from 1 species